rnacentral:rRNA from 1 species
AGAGUGAACGCUGGCGGUAGGCCUAACACAUGCAAGUCGAACGGCAGCACAGUAGGAGCUUGCUCUUACGGGUGGCGAGUGGCGGACGGGUGAGGAAUACAUCGGAAUCCACCUUUUGGUGGGGGAUAACGUAGGGAAACUUACGCUAAUACCGCAUACGCCCUUCGGGGGAAAGCCGUCGGGACAGACAAGUCGCC